ensembl:lncRNA
UACUUUGCAAUAUGUAUAAAUACAUACAUAUAUAUAUUAUUAUACAUAAAAAUGAAAGUAUAAACACUCAUGCAAGUUUUGUUUUUACUUACAACGUUCGUAUUUAAAUGUACGAAUAAUGUGUGAUAAAUUGUGAAAAUUUUUAAUAAAAUAAAAAAAAUAAAUAAUAAAUUACAAAUAAGCAGACAUUCGAGGGAUAUAAAAGAAUAACAGGCGAAUUGACGAACGGACAAAUAACCAAAAAGUUGUGCAUAUAUAUAUAUAUAUAUGAACACAAAUAGAAUCACACAAUAUAUGUUAACAAGUUGCAUAUACAUGUAUUAAAAAAAAAAAAAAAAAAAAACUAAACAUUUAAUUAUUUAUGUACAUAUUAGAGCGUACAUAUAUAUAUAUAUAUAUAUAAGUGUGCAUGCACAUAUUGUUUUUAGAACGUUGUAUAAGUUUUUAAAUACAUACACACAUACAUACAUACACACAUACAUACAUACAUAAAUACAUACACACAUACAUACAUACAUACAUAUAUACAUAUAUACAUAUAUACAUAUAUACAUACGGGAACUUACAGAUUCCAACACAUCUCUACUUCAGUUGUAGCUACCUUCUCAAACAAAACACAAAUUCGUUAUAACUAUAUUUUAGUAUCUAAGCGUAAAAAAAAAAAAAAAAAAAAAAAAAAAAAAAAAUGGUAAGAGUUAAUCCGUCUGAAAACGUGAAGGACUGUCCUCAAUUGAUUGGUAAAAAAACUGUUGAUAAGAAAUAUGAACGCAGUAAGAAUGUUGGAGAAUGUCGUUUAAGUAAUAAUAUAAAUAAAUUAAUAAUAAAUAAUUAUGUAAAGAAAAACGAAGUAAAUAAUAUAAAAAAUUUAAGUAGUAGGGGUAGUGAAAGUAGUAUGCAAAGUAUAUAUAAUGAAAACGACUAUAACAGAGACGAUAAUAUACAUAAUAGUUACAACAAUGGCUAUCACAUUAGUAAUACUAACUAUUAUCACACUAAUUAUAAUAAUGGAUAUUAUAAUAAUGACUAUUAUAUGAACGAGCGCAAUAAAAACUUAUACGAAAGUGAAUCCGAAGAAGACUAUACGCGCUCAACAUAUUUUAAUAACAAUAAAAAGGACGAAGAUAGUAAUAAAUAUACAAAAUAUAACAUCAUAACUAACAUAAGUAAACAGUUGAAUGAUCAAAUAAGUAAAGGCCCCAGUGACGAAUCAGUAAAAAAAUUAAUUACACAAGUAAGUUAUAGCCGUUUUUUUACUUUAUUAAAAAAUAUCUUAACAUAUUUACCUUUUUCUAUUAAUGACUAUUUAAUUGGAACACUCGAAUUAAAAGAAAUAAUUGAUAAUAAAGAUAGCUUAUGUUUUAAAUUAUACACAGAAGAAGAAUUGAUGAAAUAUGUAUAUAGUCAGGAGGGAAAUACAUUAGUAAAUAGUAAAGUAUAUAAUUUGUUUGCAAGAUAUAAAAUAAUGAAAAAUAAAAAAGAACAUAUCAACCAUUCACACCCUACUAAUGAGACUCACACGAAAAACAACGACAACAGUAAGGGUAAUAAUUAUGACGGUAAUAAUUAUGACAGUAAUAAUUAUGACAGUAAUAAUAAUUAUGACCGUAAUAAUAAUUAUAACCCUAAUAAUAAUAAUAAUAAUAAUAAUAGUAAUGCCAGUACUGAUUAUGACAUGAACAAGAUUAACUUGGAAAACAUAUUAAUAGAAAAGACUCGCAUAUAUAUAUAUAAAACUUAUUCAUUUAUAGAAGGUCGAGAUAAAAAUUUAUCAUAUAUUUACCAAAUUUGUCAUGCCCUAGAUUAUAAAACCAAUACAUUUUUGUUAUCAGUAUUUAUAUUUGAUUGUUAUAUUCAUCGUAUUAACGAAUUAACUAAAAAAAAUCAUUAUAAAAAAAUAAAACUAUUAGUAAUUAUAUCAUCUAUUUUGUUAGCCAUUAUAAAAACACAAACCUUUAGCAGUGCAUGUGUUAAUCAUUUACGAGACAUAUUAUAUUUUUUACAGAAUGAAAGAAAUGAAAACUUAAAGUAUACAUGUAUUGAAAUUUCAAAUAAGCAAAUGGAAAUGUUAAAACUCUUACCAAAUAAUUAUAAUAAUUAUUUAACUUAUUCAGAAUUAGCUUAUGUUUAUUUUGCUAACUUAAAAAAAUGUUCAGAAAAAUAUCCAGCUAUUAAAAUAUAUUAUAUAUUUUUAGAACAUUUUGGAUUUCUAUAUUAUAUAUUUGAUGUUAUAUAUGCAUAUUCUAUGUAUAUAGUUUCAGUUGGGUCUUAUAAACUCAUACCGCCUAGUCGUAUUGUAGCUACUAUCAUUUUAUAUUUUACUAACGCU